rnacentral:rRNA from 1 species
UACGGAGGGUGCGAGCGUUGUCCGGAAUCACUGGGCGUAAAGGGCGCGUAGGCGGUCCGGUAAGCGUGUGGUGAAAGCCCGGGGCUCAACCCCGGGUCGGCCGUGCGAACUGCGGGACUGGAGCACUGUAGAGGCAGGCGGAAUUCCGGGUGUAGCGGUGGAAUGCGUAGAGAUCGGGAGGAACACCAGUGGCGAAGGCGGCCUUCUGGACCAAUACUGACGCUCAUGCACGAAAGCGUGGGGAGCAAACAGG